AUGGGCAAAGGCGACACACUGGAGACCAUUUGGGUAGUGGGAUGGUGUCCAACAGGGGAAAUUAGUACUCUCUCUUCUCUAAGGACCCCUGGAUGUGUGGUGACUCCUAGGACAGAGAUUUCUCUUUUUUUUUUUUUUUUUUUGAGAUUUCUCAAACCUUUAAUAUUUCCUGGAAAAGAGAAGAGGUUGAGGGGGCUCUGUUUUCAGGGGAAGAACACCUCGCUGUACCAUAUUACCUAUAAUCGACGCCAAGAGAGUCGCAGGAGGAUGGAGGCAUGUGGAUGGCAGAGAACAUCCCUGGAGUCUUGACUCACCUUCCCAUCUUCUUGAGGAGGAGAGCUAAUCAAGAAAGAACCAAGAAGGAUCUACCUGGUGGCAGAUUCUGGAAGAGCUGCAGCAGAGAGGCUGGGCUGCCUUUGGGCCAGCAGGUCCUGGAGGAGCUGACAAUAGCUACAUCCUUCACCACUACUGACUCUUGGAAAUGAAAGGGAGGGAAAUGUUCCACCACUACAAGUCACGAGGAUGCUGAUGACCCUGCUGCUCUAGUGCAAGCAAGGCCACUUCUUACCCUGUCUGAAAUUUGGUGAGCCCCACGUCACCUAAAUGCUGGAACAUUCUGGAGGUGUAGGCAUGUAAUGCAAGCUGUCUAGAGCGGGGCAGCCCUGGGCAACAUGCGGCCACACACGUGUCUGGAAAUAGCUUGUCUUUAAAUAUUAUAUUUGUGCUGAGUGUUCGUCCGUUCUGAACUUCUAAGUCACCACCAGCAAACUGUCCCUUUAC
rnacentral:lncRNA from 12 species